UCAGUUGUAGGGAGGGUAACGGCCUCCCUAGCUACGACGGUACGGCGUUGAGAGACGUCGCCCGGAGAUGAACUCUGAGACACGAGUUCAGGCCUACGGGGCGCAGCAGGCGCGAAAACUGCACAAUGCUGGAAACAGCGAUGCGGGAAUUCCAAGUGCCAGCACUGAGUGUUGGCUGUUCCAUUGUCUAAAAAACAUAGGAAGUAAGGGCUGGGUAAGACGGGUGCCAGCCGCCGCGGUAAUACCUGCAGCCCGAGUGGUGGCCGUUAUUAUUGGGCCUAAAACGUCCGUAGCCUGUUUGGUAGAUGCCUGUGUAAAUCGAACGGCUCAACCGUUCGAACUGCGGGUAGACCGCCAGACUUGGGACCGGGAGAGUCACGAAGUACUCCGGGGGUAGAGGUGAAAUUCUGUAAUCCUCGGGGGACUACCGGUGGCGAAGGCGUCGUGAUAGAACGGCUCCGACGGUGAGGGACGAAGCCCUGGGGCGCAAACCGGAUUAGAUACCCGGGUAGUCCAGGGUGUAAACGCUGCGGUCUUGGUGUCGGGAGUCCUACGGGGGCACCCGGUGCCGGAGAGAAGUUGUUAAGACCGCUGCCUGGG
rnacentral:rRNA from 1 species